rnacentral:rRNA from 1 species
CCCCUAGUAACUGCGAGUGAAGCGGGAAAAGCUCAAAUUUGAAAUCUGGCGGCUCCGUCGCCCGAGUUGUAUUCUGGAGAAGCGUUUUCCGUGCCGGACCGUGUACAAGUCCCUUGGAACAGGGCGUCAUAGAGGGUGAGAAUCCCGUCUUUGACACGGACUCCCGGUGCUAUGUGAUGCGCUCUCGAAGAGUCGAGUUGUUUGGGAAUGCAGCUCAAAAUGGGUGGUAAAUUCCAUCUAAAGCUAAAUAUUGGCGAGAGACCGAUAGCGAACAAGUACCGUGAGGGAAAGAUGAAAAGCACUUUGGAAAGAGAGUAAAACAGUACGUGAAAUUGUUGAAAGGGAAACGCUUGAAGUCAGUCGCGUCUGCCGGAACUCAGCCUUGCUUCUGCUCGGUGCACUUUCCGGUUCGACGGGCCAGCAUCGGUUUUGGGCGGCGGACACUGGCGCGGGGAAGGUGGCAGCUCCGGCUGUGUUAUAGCCCCGCGUCGCAAACGCCGUCCGGGACCGAGGAAUCCGGCGCAAGCCUGGGAUGCUGGCGUAAUGGCUUUAAACGACCCGUCUUGAAACACGGACCAAGGAGUGCUACACGCUCGCGAGUGUUUGGGUGGAAAACCCGGACGCGCAAUGAAAGUGAAAGUCGAUACCCCUCGCGGGGGCACCGACGCCCGAGCCUGAUGUUUUCGGAAGGCCUUGCGGUAGAGCGAGUGCGUUGCGACCCGAAAGAUGGUGAACUAUUCCUGAGGAGGGCGAAGCCAGAGGAAACUCUGGUGGAGGCUCGUAGCGGUUCUGACGUGCAAAUCGAUCGCAGGACUUGGG